UGAUGUGUCUGGGAGAACACCCCUGACUGGAUGUUUCCAUUCUUAGCCCCAUUGUAGGAAGGAGAACAAGGCCUGGAGAUGGCAUACUGUUCACCAGGUCAGGCAGUGUAGGAGAAGAGCCUGCACCCAACAUCAGAACUUUUGAGUGCUAGGACCCUAGGACCUCUGGACAGGCAGGAUGGAACAAGCCUGGACUACAUCCAAAAAGCUCAGCCACUGUAAGGAUGAGAAAAACAUCGAUGCACAAAAGAAAAGUGCCAGGACCAAAGUCUAAUCAGGCAUCCCAGGAUACAGAGAGCCUGACAGACUCGGGCCAGAGGUUUCCUACAAAUUCUAGAAGACGAAGAAGGCCCUACUCCACAGAAGAAGCCUGUUGCUGAUGCCGUCCCAAUAGGGAAGCCUGUUGCUGAUGCUGUCCCAAUCAGUACUAUGAUUGUGAAACUUGUAUCUCUAUGAAUACCGGGUUCUGGAGUCUUGUGCCCAGGUAUCCAGUCCUCCUCUCAUUGCUCAUUUGGUAGAACUUUGCAAGUCGUGCCAUUGGGAGUGUCAUGUGCUAAUGGUGUCCCACUUGGUACAUAGGCUAAGAAAACUUUCUACCCAUUUAAGGGGCUGGAAAUAGGCUGAACUCACAGUCAACAUUAAAAUUACAUUUCUAUA